GUCGGACACCGGCCCGCGUUCCAGCUGCUUCCUGGGGACUUUCAGGGGUUUUGCUUUCCAAGAGGGGCAAAGGGCAGUCUAUGACGCGGUUCCCCCACCCCCACCCCCGGCCAGAUGCUAGGGCUUUGGAGCGGCUAAAAUCUGGAUCGGGUACAGCAUCUCUUCACUGGCGUGAACAGAAGCACAGAGGCGAUGCUCCCGCCCCUGGUGAGGCCUUCAGGAGCCAAUCCUCUAGCUCCAAUCCUAGCUGCGAUGGAGAAUCUGCUAUCAACUUAGAUGGCUAGGCUACUCAGCCAAGGGGAAUUUGUGCACACAGCCGAAACGAGUGGUCUGGAGAGCAUGGAGCCAUGGGGAACACUCAUGCAGCACUGUUCAACCACAUCUGUGGAAGGGAGUGUGUGGCUAUUGGUCACAGGCACCCUGGCUAGAGGGGAGAGUGCACAACCACAGAGGUACAUAACCCCAGAUGCUCUGUGCUGGCAAGAAGACCAAAGACCCAAACAACAGCUAUCCUCAGCCAUUGCACAGGAGCUAUGUGCUCCAGGAAGCUGGGCAGUACUACCAGUGGGCUUGUUAGACAGCGAUUUAGAUAUAGCCAUGAAGAGGGUUCUUUGCCUGGGGUUUGGACCUAAGAACUUUUAUGAGAUGGGCUGGGAGUGUUUCUGUGUUUCUCAGUGGUAGGCUACUUGCCAGGCCCUGAGACUGGCACUAAGAAGACAAAGGCAGACCAGAGGAAAGGCCCUGGGUGUGGUAGAUUAUGCCUGUAAUCCAAGCAUACAGAAUGCAAGAAGGCAGAGGCAGGAAGAGCUUGAGUUCUAAGCCACCCUCAUCUCUAUAUAACUAGUUCUACUUAGUGAGAAGAGUCCUUACCCACAUUCUCCCUCCCUGCCCCAACAACAAAUAAAUACACAAAGAAAGAAAGAAAGAAAGAAAGAAAGAAAGGAAAAGAAAAGAAAAGAAAAGAAAAGAAAAGAAAAGAAAAGAAAAGAAAAGAAAAGAAAAGUUGAGUAUAAUAUGGUGGUACAAGCCAGCUGCUUGAGAUACUGAGGCAAGAUGGUUGCUUUGUCCGGGAAUUCAAGGGCAGCCUGGAAAACAAAGCAAGAGCCUAGCCCACCCCAAAUCCCAGAGAGGCUGUCAAUUUGCAGCGGGGGUGGAGGCUGGAGGGUCAUUGGAGGCCACUUGCACACUAGCUCCAGGAGAGAGCAAGACAUUGAUCCAGCAGACCAUGGUGAAUGUAAGAGAAGCAGCUCGCUGCCCGGGAGGGAGGACCAGCCAGACCACAGAGAAACCCCUGGUACCGUGGGUACCCAGUCUCAAGACCACACAAUGAAAUCUCUUUUCUCUCCUCAGAGAAACUUCACCAUCUGAAACCAAACUAAUCUGAAAGUUUUCAUUUAACUGGUUUAAUUCCUAUUGACAUAUUAAAGUGUCUGAAGACGCAUACAAAUACUCCAAGUGACUGAAAGAAAAUUUUAAAUUGCUUAAUUUAUAGCUCACAUACAUUAGUUAUUUUCUGAGACAGAGUCUCAAAGUCCAGACUGGCUGGAAACUUCCUUUGUAGACCAUUCUGGACCGUAAUCCUCCUGCCUCAGCCUUCCAAGUGCUGAGAUUACAGGAAUGUCUAGUUCAUUAAUUAAUUAAUUAAAGGUGGAUACCUUUCCCUUCAAGAUUAGAAUGUUACCUGCCUCCGUCUUUCGAGAACCUUGGUUUUGUUCAGAGAUUUAAGUAACUCAAGCGCCAUAGCAACCUGGUGUCCACUAACACAAUACCUUAGUGAGCCUGAGCCAGCAUGCCCCCUCCCCCAUUGGUUGGGUUCAGGGGCCACAGUGGGCUUCCAGGAACAGGGUUAGCAGGCCUGUUAGUUCCUAUAUCAGGCUGGCACCGCUGAUCUCAGAAUGUUCUUUUUUGUGAGACAAGGAAAAAAAGUCUCCAUCAUAUAAGUGACAGAUAUAAAGAUAUCACAGUUAUUAAUCACAACUAGAUCAAUGUAUCCCGAAUUGAGGAGACUUAGCGGUCCUAUGUACAGUGUAAUUCUGAAUUACGUCCUGGAAAGUACAUGGAUGUGGAAUCCAUUUCUGCCCCCAUGUUGUUACUUCCAAGCUGGGCACCCUGACAAGCUGUUUCGUUUUUAUCAGUUUUACUUUCUUUGUACAUUGAAAGAAAACAAAAAUAUAGUUUUUUGUAAAUUAAGCGAGAUAAAGUCUUGUGGCUGGAACACACCCAAGACACAAUACGAACUAGCUAUAAUGGUUAUUAUCCAAACGAAAGAAGCAUGAGCUCUGCUUUAGUCAUAUUACAGUUACCAGAAAAGGCAGCAUGAAAUACAGAGCAAAACAAGACACAUAAAACAGACAAACUGCAGGAGUAAUGGGAACAUUUGCUGUUAGAGUUGGGACAAAAAAAAAAAAACAACUUAAUGAGAACAGGAAUUGGAAACCUGCCUAAUUUUUACAUUUUUAUAAUGUUCUUAAUUUUUUGAAUUCCCUGCCAAAAAAAAAAACCACCAAAAAACAAAAAACACUGCCUGCACAAUCACAUAAAACUCGUGAAAACAUUGUGAUCUCCUUAAUAAAUAACUUAAAGAAAAGAAACAAUCAAAAAUGCCCACUGAGACAUUUUCUCUUUAUACCAAUAGAAAAGUUGGUAGCCCCCCAAGUGGGGGAACUAAAUAAAUUAGGCUGCACGGUUGAUCCGGCUGCAGUUGUUAAGUGGUUAAGAACUGUGCAGCCACAUGGAAAAAUGGAUACAUUAACGGCUUUAUUAGUGGUUAGA